rnacentral:rRNA from 1 species
UACGGAGGGUGCGAGCGUUGUCCGGAAUCACUGGGCGUAAAGGGCGCGUAGGCGGCGCGGGUAGUCAUCGGUGAAAGUUCAGGGCUCAACUCUGAAUCGGCCGGUGAUACUCUCGUGCUUGAGCACUGUAGAGGCAGGUGGAAUUCCGGGUGUAGCGGUGGAAUGCGUAGAGAUCCGGAAGAACACCGGUGGCGAAGGCGGCCUGCUGGGCAGUAGCUGACGCUGAUGCGCGACAGCGUGGGGAGCAAACAGG